rnacentral:rRNA from 1 species
GAAUAUUGGACAAUGGGCGAAAGCCUGAUCCAGCCAUGCCGCGUGAGUGAUGAAGGCCUUAGGGUUGUAAAGCUCUUUCGCCAGGGACGAUAAUGACGGUACCUGGAUAAGAAGCCCCGGCUAACUUCGUGCCAGCAGCCGCGGUAAUACGAAGGGGGCUAGCGUUGUUCGGAAUUACUGGGCGUAAAGCGUAUGCAGGCGGGUCGUUAAGUCAGGGGUGAAAUCCCGAGGCUCAACCUCGGAACUGCCUUUGAUACUGACGAUCUUGAGUCCGGGAGAGGUGAGUGGAACUGCGAGUGUAGAGGUGAAAUUCGUAGAUAUUCGCAAGAACACCAGUGGCGAAGGCGGCUCACUGGCCCGGUACUGACGCUGAGAUACGAAAGCGUGGGGAGCAAACAG